UACGUAGGGGGCUAGCGUUGUCCGGAUUUAUUGGGCGUAAAGAGCGUGUAGGCGGCCAUGUAGGUCCGGUGUGAAAACUCGAGGCUUAACCUCGAGAUGUCAUCGGAAACCAUUUGGCUAGAGUCCGGAAGAGGAGAGUGGAAUUCCUGGUGUAGCGGUGAAAUGCGCAGAUAUCAGGAAGAACACCUGCGGCGAAGGCGGGUAGCUGGGCCGACACUGACGCUGAGGCGCGAAAGCCAGGGGAGCGAACGGG
rnacentral:rRNA from 1 species